rnacentral:rRNA from 2 species
CAUUACCACACCUAAAAAACUUUCCACGUGAACCGU